UGACGGCUACCUUAAACCUCGAGCUGAUGUCUCGUUGUUCGUGUGUUUAUAGCUUUCAAUCUCUUUUUUUUAGUUAUUCUGAAGAAAAGUUAGAGGAGGGUCGAAAUCUUAAUAGUCUGUCUCUCGGUUGCCAGACGCGCUUGGUUUCUUCCUGUGCUCUCUGUUUUCGUUUCAGGUCUCUAGCAUCCGCUAUACUCUGUUAUCGCUUAUGUGACUGGCAAAACCAGCAAAUGUUGCUCAUUCCUGACUGACCUUGAGGUGGUAUUUCAAACCCUACCUCAGUGCUGUUGAUUCCACUAUCCCUGCCUGUCAGCACUGGAUGCCUUAUGUGUUUGAACGAAUUCACCAAUCUGAACUGAGCCCAAAGAUGAGGAAUGCCUGGGAUUCUUAGCCCUGACUCAUGUCUUGAAUAUCUUGAGAUUUAAAUGGUCCUUUUUCAAAUAUUUCUGGCUAGCAGAUAAUGUAUUCAGCUUUUAUUUGUCAUUGUAGGCUCAUUAGUUGCUUGCUUCUGUGUUUUGACAGCUACGUGGGCAAGCUUGAGAGAGCACUUGCUCACUGGUGACGUGGAUGGCUUAUCUUGGCAGCUAUGGGCGCGCGCAUUCACUGUUCGACUCCCCAGCCUGGAGCAGUGCGCCUGCGCGCCGGUGUUUCUGACGCAUUGCUAAGUUGUCAGAGAAGGCGACGGACAAUUGUUUCAAGAUGGCCGCCUGGUUAGUUUGGCAGUUGCAGCAUCAUAGCGGCUGUGCGAGAAAUCUUCCAUUAGUAUUGUGGUCUUGCAACAAAAAGCCUUUGCAAUUUCGGACUUUCGCUUUGAGCGCUGCUUUCCAGAGAGAGGCCUUGAGAUGGAACUUUGACAGUGGAAUUUGUGACUUUGGAAGAACACGAUUUGAUUCCAGUAGGUCCUGUUGUCAUCAAGACAGGGAUCCUAUAUUAAAGGUGAGUACGUGUUGUUUGCAUUGUUUUUCGAGGAAAUGUUAGAUUGACAUUUUGUUGAAAAUAACUUCGAUUAUUAUUGAUGUUAUGAAAUAGCUGUAUGAGUUUUGUAUUUUAUACGUAGGAUUUGGACGUCAGUUCUCCUUAAAAAUCCGUUGUGUCACAUUAAAUGGUAGGGUAAUAUGGGAUAUUACUGAAAUUAAUUUAGGCAAGUAGGACUGAAAAACAUGCACUUCAAUUAGUUAAAGGUAAAUUUAGAAUAGAAAAGCAGCAAUGUGGCUCAUCAUGUAUGUGUUGGUGAUUUAUAAUCUAACCACCCUCUCUAAUUGCAUCCUGUAUCGUUAUGGUGAGAUAUUAGGAAGAACUUCAUGCAAAGUGUUAAUUAUUGGUAACGAAUCCAGCAGUCCAGGUAUCUAAGACAAAAAAAAGGUCCAAAUGCAGUUGAAUUGUAAACUGACUGAAAGUUGGAAAAUUAGAUUGCAGUUUUUUUCUAUAUUGAAUCAUCAUGUUAUAAAUGCAGAACAGAAUCUUAACAGUGCAAAGUGGCCAUUGAUCUGUGCCGACCCUCCUAAAGAGUCAAUUUAUGUACUGCUACUCCACUACCCUCUCCCCAUAUAUCUGGCACAUUUAUUCUCCUCCUGUAUUGAGGAACACUUGUGGCACAACAAGAGGCCACUCUGCCCAUCUUACCUCAAAAAUUGAACCACCCAGCUUAAUUCCAUUUCUUAGCACUUGGUCUGCAUUCCUCUAGGUAACGGAAAAUCAGGUGCACAACCAAAUACCUUGUGAAUAAUUUGAGUUUUUGCCUCUGUUAUCCCUUCAGGCAGGAGUUCUAGACUCCUAACAUCCUUUGGGUGAAAACAAUCUUCCUCGUCUCCCUUCUGAUCCUUAUACCAAUCACUUGAUAGGAAUGCAUUCUAGUCAUUGACUCUUCUGCUAAAGUAAAUAAAACCUUCCCAUCUAUUCUUAGCAGGCCUAUCUCAAUUUUGUACUCCAGAAAAUCUGUCCUGAGUUGUCUAAAGGGAAACAACCCCAUGCCUCAAUUUUUCCUCAAAGCUGCUAUUUAACACUCCUGGUAACAUCCUUAUAAAUCGUCUUUGUACCAUCUCUCGUCCAGUUAUUGUAAUUGGGUGAUCAGAACUGCAGCCAGUAUGUAAAUUGUGGACUAGCUAAUGUAUUUAGAGUUGUAUUAAUAAAUGGCUAAUGAAAGAAAAUAUUAAUCUGUCUUGCUAUCUUAUCUACCUGUCUCACUACAUUCAGUACUAUGGAUAUGCAAUUCCUCUACACCUUUCCAUCCUCCCAUUUAUUACGUAUUUUUAAAAUUUCUUUCACAAGAAGUGGGCAUCAU